CGAAGAUCCAGAAUGGAGAUCAGAAUUCGGCAACAGGAGCUGUUUAAGCAAGUGAAGGAGUUGGAAGAACAAAACCUAAAACUGAACCAAAUAGAAAUGAGGACUCAGACUGUUGGAAGAGAGAACAUGGAAAGUACUCUUAAUAAAGUGAUCAUAAUUCAAGAGAUUUUUCAGGAGACUGGAGAUGAGGCAAUACCGGAGGUUGAGCAGGAGUAGACCAGAAUGGCAAAAACGUCCAGGAAGAGAAAAACUGCCUAAAUGGCGACAUCACA